rnacentral:lncRNA from 1 species
CGUCCAUUAUCCUAUAACAUCCUUUGUUGUUUUAUUAUGUAUCAGUAACUAAGAAUAAACCUGAAGACACCGUAAGUCAGAUUGCGUAUUAGUACUUUUCAUUAAUAUAGAUGUAUAUUAAUGUGUGGAGCCUUUGACCCAAGACUAUAUAUAAAAAAGAGACGUAUAUAUCAAUCAACUGAAGAAAAUAAUAAAUUAAGAAGGGAAGAAUAUUUUACAACCUGCACUUAGAAUUUCCAGUGUAGGUGGUUGAAGGCCUUUUCCAUGUUAAGGGAAGGUACCAAACCUCCCUCACUCUUUUUUCUAUGGCUGGAGAUUAUAUCUAAGACCUUUGCGAGAAUUGUCAGUGCCAUGUCUGCCGGCGAUUAAGCUUACUUGAUCAUUGUGGAUGAUGUAAGGUAGAAUUUUGGCAAAGAUUUUGGCGAAUAAUUUUGCAUCCGUGUUAAGGAGCGAGAUUGGUCUAAAAUUUUGGGGGGCUUGCCGGGCUUUGAGUUACGAUAUGUGCUACUAACAUUUCUGAUUUUACUGCUUCCGUGAAAGCCCUAACUAGGUGCAGAUCUAGUGUAGAUUGGAAUGUUUUGUAACAGGAGUUAUCUAGUCUUCCAGGGCCAGGUGAUUUGCCAGAUGGUAAGGCUUUGAUGACUUCGCUAACCUCCUCCUCAUCUACAGAGUUUGAAAGAGUUUUCUGCUGUGUUUGUGUAAGGCGUGGCAAGUUGAUUGUGUCUAGAUAAGCGUUGAUCUUGUCCUCUAAAGGUUGGUGGGUAGUUCCAUAUUUCUUAAGAUUGUAAAGGUCUGCAUAAUAUCUGGCAGAUUCAUUGCUGAUCUCCUGAGCUAUCAUGCAUUUUGUCCCAUUUGGUUUAACCCCUUAAGGACCAAGCUUCUGGAAUAAAAGGGAAUCAUCACAUGUCUUGUGUCCUUAAGGGCUUAAAAAGGUAUGCUAUUUUUUGUUUGGUCUGUUCUUUUAAUCUGGUGGCUAAGAGUGUGCUUGCUUUGUUACCUUGCGUGUAGUUUGUGGCUUUCAGUUUUUUAAGGUGGACAUUUUGCAUUCUAGAGGCUUUUGGUGGAUUUUCCUGGUGAGAUUCAUAAUUUUGUCCCUCAGUGCAGUGGUGGGAGUUUCUUUAUAUAUGACGCUUGGUGAAUGAGUAGUCCUUGAAAUACAAGUUUGUGUGCGACCCAUAAAGUACUACGGGGAGUGUCCGGUGUAACGUUGUCUGCGAAGUGAUGUUGGAGAGCCAUGUUCAGUUCGUCUCUGAAUUGUGUGUUAUGUAGUAAAGAGGUAAUUAACCUCCAUGUUGUUUAAAGUCGUAUAAGUCUUUUAAAUCUAAGGUGAUGGGCGCGUGGUCGGACCAAGUGAUAUCGCCUAUGUCACACUUAAUCUGAUUAUGAGAACUCCCUAGCAUGAGAAAACCAUCUAUUCUGGAAUAGGAAUUGUGUACUGGUGAGAAGGAGUAGGAUUUUUCGGUGACGUGUGCCAGUCUCCACGCAUCAUAGUAGUUUUUGUAUAGCUUUGCUUUGGAGUUUCAGGGGUCGGUAUCUGGCGCUGGAUGGUGGUGUUCAUCUGGGGGUUUAUAUCUUGUGUAGGAAGUUACGUUGGUUUGCGGCGUAUAGAUUGACUCUAGUGUAUAAGAUGUCAUUGAUAGUUGUGUAACAAGUGCGAAGGAUACAUUAGCACUAAUCAAUAUGGAAGUACCUUUGGAUUUGGCAGAGGAGGUAGCAUGGAAUUGGUGCGGAUAUGCCGCUUGUAACAGGGGCGGUGGUGAUUAGUCCUAAAAUGUGUCUCCUGCAGACAUGCUACACCAGCUGUCUGUGCAGACCAAUGUGUUUUAAGGAUCACAGUCCAGAGGUUUGCAACUGUAAGAGAGGCGAACCCAGUGCUAGCAAAUACAAAAAAUAUAAGUCCUGUGCUCACUCCCAUCACUCCUGGCCAUGACCACAGUACACAUCAACCCCAAUAUAUAGUAAAAACCAAAGGGAAAUAAGUUACCUGCGCUCUCUCCUUAAUCCCUAUGUAUAUUUAGACAAAUGGAGGUCACUUAGUUACUCCAAUGGCCAUUGGAAGGAAUGCCUGCCUGCCAAUGUCAAGGCAGACCCCCCUACACUGGGGGGGUCUGGGAGGUCUGCCUUGACGUUGGCAGGUGGGCAUUCCCUCCAAUGGCCAUUGGAGUAACUAAAUGACCUCCAUUUGUCUAAAUAUACAUAGGGAUUAAGGAGAGAGCGCAGGUAACUUUUUUUUCUUUGAACCCAGUGCUAGAUUCCUCCCUUUCUCUAGGUUUCAGUCAGACUAUCUUACUUCCCUUUUACAAGACCAAGGAUUUGUAAUGAAUUCAUAGGAAUCAUAGCCAGUUUCCACUCAGUGAUCUUUUUCUGGGUUUUGUACUGAACAACAGGACUAUGUCACUAGCAAUCCCUCAGCACAAAUUGGACAAGUUAUUUGUACAUCUGACCUCAUAACUAAGGCCCUUAGGCCAAAACGUUGUAUCUUUUUUUUUUUUUGUUCUUUUGAUCUCCAAUAAAUAUAUACUAUGUUGUGAUGCCUGUGAACCUCUAUUUUUAGUUGGCACAACUGGCCUCUUCUCACAGGGGGCAGAGUUGGUCUUUGAGAGAUCUGGCAAAGAUUAUCUGGAAUUAAUAGCUUUAUUUGGAGGCUCUUUGUCUUUUAUCUUGGCCGUAGCAGACAAAGUUCUGUUUUUUGCACAUGUUCCUGGAGAGGUAAACAAGCUGGCAGAUUCUCUUUCUUGCCAGUAUCCAACAAGUAUAUUCCAAUGGAUAGAAAGCAAUGUUGGCCAUAGACAAGUAGAUCCCAGACUUCUGCAUAAACUCCUAGGUUUUUCUCCAGGAUUUGGACAAAGGAGGAAAAAGGGGGCUUGGAAAAAGGGAAGCAAUGUCUCUCCAGAGGACAGAGGACAGAUGUUCCAGCCCCUUAUAUUUUUCCCUCUCCAGAUGAAAGAACCGCAGAGAAAGAGUACAGAGUUUAGUACUCGUUUACCCAAUCUGGACAUCCAGAUUCUGUUAUCCAUCAGUUAGUCAAGGGAACCACAGGUGUAACUAGAAACCACUGGGCCCCGGUGGAACAAUUGACCCGGGCUGUCCCCCCCACACACAUGUUUCAUUCCCUCCCCCAGCUCCUCCAUGUGUCUAAUUUCCUUCCCACGCCCCCCAUGUUUCUCCUUCCCUCCACCCAGCCCCUCCACGAGUCUCAUUCUCUCCCUCUCAGCUACUCCAGCUCAUUUCCCUGCUCCUCUCUCAGUCCCUUCAUUUGUCUAAUUUCUCCACCUCUCCAUUUGUCUCAUUCUCUCUCACCCCCAUCGAGCCUUCAUUAACCCCCUUUGCCCCCUACCCAGCCCCCACUUCCAUCUAUCCCUCAUUAUCCCCACAUCCAGCCCUCACUCCAUCUCUCACCCCCCCAUCCAGCCCUCAUUAACCCCCCUCACUCCCCAUCGAGUCCUCAUUAACCCCCCUCACUACCCAUCCAGCCCUCAUUAACUCCCCCUCACCCCACAUCCAGCCCUCACUCCAUCUCUAACCCCCCCAUCCAGCCAUCAUUUGCCCCCUCAUCCUCCUUCCAGUCCUCAUUAACUCCUCCCAUCCUCCUUCCAGACCUUAUUAGCCUCCUUCAGUCCCCAUCCAGCCCUCUCUCACCACUUCUUCCAGCCCUCAUUAAGCCCCCUCACUCCCCCCAUCCAGCACACAAUCCCUCUGUCCCCAAUCUUCCCCUGUACCUUAUGUCUGUGUGUAGCGUGGCCGAGCAAUACCCAGUCUGACAGAAAGUGCUCUCUCACUGAGCACUUCCUGUCAGCCACGAUGCUGGCCCACAGUCACAGGGGUCACAGCUGUGGCUGGGCCCCCUGGAGUCAUGGGCCCAGUUGUAGCUGCGAACCCUGCGACCGUGGAAGGCAAGCCACUGAAGGGAACCAAGAUCCCAUUGGUCUUGACUUUGGAGUGCUUUCAGGGAACCAGUGAUAUUUUGCUCAAGUUUCCGCAGCUGAUGUAGAUUGCAGCCCUUUUUUUGGACCAGGUCCUGUGCAUCAUUAGACGCAGCGCUAGGGUAAGAUAUAUAAAAACGGUUGAGGAAUUCAAAGAAUGGAGGGUUUCUUUUCAAUCUAUUUCUCAUAGGUCUGGCACCAUUCACUUAUAUUUAGAAUUUCCUACUCUUAAUCUGGUUUAGCAGUCAGUACCAUCAAGGCCUAUGGGACUGCUUUAAAUUUUCUUAUCCCUAAACUUACUCAAGAUGUGUUUGAGAUUAUUAAAAUAAUUAUCAGUCUGCCGCCCAUAUACUCCAAGCUGCACAUCUACUUGUUACUUAUUAACACUUAAUACAUUUCCUUAAGUUCUUGGAUAAUACUAAGAUUGGUUUAAGAUGGACUGCUAUUAAGUUGGCAUCUCUUUUUUGUUUUAGGCAUUGGCAGCUAGAGGAACUGAAUCAAUUCAAAUCCAUAUUUCAGAACUGUGGCUGUCCUGGACCCCAGGAGAGUUCCAUAUUAUACUUAUAGGGAGACAAAAACCUCCCAAAUUUACCCAGGUUGGAUGGGGUUGGAUUUCUAUUUAUGAUCCUUCUUAACCAGGAUUAUAUUUAGUCAGUUUGUUACAAUCUAACCUUGAUCUAUCUGCUUCUGUCAGUAUUGACAUUCGUCACUUAUAUAUUACAUCAAGGAAAACCUUUUGUCCAGCCAAAGUUAAUACAAUACUUGUUGGAUACUUUCUGCUAUGACUUUGGCUGGUCUUGACGUUUCUGUGUUUAAAGGUCACUCUAUCACGGGUGCCUCAGCUACAAAAGCUGAUGCAAAGGCUCCCCCCCUUCCUAUUAGUUUCAAAGCUGCCAGGUGAUCGCCUAUUAAAUUCUUUGUUAGAUUUUACUGGAGGCCAUAAGACUUGGUUUCUCAGGACUAACAUCAGGUCUGUGCUAUUCUACCCACUAUCUUUGCUAGGUGGUUAUGCCUCCUGGAAGACAAAAUCAAGUUUGCAGGAAUCUAUGAUCUGCGAAAGGUCUUUGUCUCAGGGAUGAGUGUAAUUACCUAGCAGUAGCGCCUGUUCCAGCAUCCAAUAGUCUAAGGGUUUAGCCUCAUGGUGGUGGUUUGCUUUCUCUAGAUGUUGUUUAUCUUCCAUUUUCUGUUUUUUUAUAGAUUACAAUCUAACUUUCAGACAGGGCCAAAAAUCCAAGGACCAACACAAGUAGGAAGAUGGGAAGCUAGGCGUAUCUUCUUAAAGUUGCAUACAAGAAUCAGCUGUUAGAGACUCGUUACAAUAUUGAGUUUUUUUUAAUUUUACAGAUGUUUUUGUUGUGAUUAUGUAGGACUCUGCAUGUUUUUUGUUUGUUUUUUACAUUGUCCACUCAUAAACCCAUUAACGCAUUAAAAAGCUGUUCAAGUAGAUUCCACUGGUCUGGUUUUAGGUCAGGAUAGUUUGUUUUCCUUCAUUCCUUUUGUUUCAGCCUGGACCUGCAGCAGUGUUUCAAGUCUCUGCCCUUUCUUGCAGCUAUGUAACAAUAUAUAACAGAGGAGGAGGAGGAGUGAGACACUUAAAAGAAAGGGAUGGAUGUCCAUGACGUUGUCAGAUGAAGCCUGUGGAGGUGGGCGAAACGCAUCAUGUACACGUCACGAGAGAGGCGGACCCGGAAGUGAUCACGUGAUCGGGACGGACGAAACCAGGAAGUGACUUUCUAUCUGCUGUUUAAAUGCUUUUAUGUGGG